CUGAACCCUGAUAUGGGGUAAAUACCUGAUAAGAAUUAAGAAUCUGAACAAUUUACAGUGGGGUAGCAUACUGGGCAAUUUAUCUAUUGGGGUAUAGCUAUCCCUUCCCUGGAAGAGCCCAUGCCUGUGUGUAUGCUCUGUCGACUUUAGUCAGUUCGCAUCAUGCGUGAGGAAAACUCAUAGGAGUUAUCAGUCACAUGGUCAGGGUAGCCUAUGGGUUCAAUUUUGCAAGUAUAAGUAAAAGAGAAUAUAAAGCAAGAAUUAAACUAAGAAGUAAUGUUGAUGGUUAUGACUUGUUAUUCUGAGUGAUGAAUUUUUUACCUGUUAUUCUCACAUGGUGCCUUUUAGGAGUGUCAGCAGUUGGUUUUUGAAUAAAAGAUAGGUUUUCAGGCUUGGUUUCGCAUUAUGGUCAAGGUAAGUAAAAUCUUUUAUAACCAUAACAU